GCACAGUUUUAAAGUCUUAUACAGAUAUUUAGUUAUUUAGACUGUGAUCUACAGUUAUCUAAUGGUAGGGUAGUUGAUGCUAUCCUCUAUUCCAUACAGUCAGGCCAUCUCCUCCUCCUGCGCUCUCGUAGUGGACAAUGUGACAGUGAGACAGCGCUGAUUAAACAUUAAGAGCAAAUUUUUAUUUAAGAUUUGAGUUGGAUUUUAAAAGAUGUUUAUGGAGCAAUUAUCACUCAGUACAAGCGCAAAUAGCACUGCUGGAUUUAAUCUUCAUGAU